UAUGAGAAGGUGAAGGAAAAGUGAGUUUGGUCUCUCUCUCUUUCUCUCGAUACGAACGGCAAAUUCUCAUCAUCUCUCUAUCUAUCAACAUGGCAACAAUGGCGAUUCGUGCCGUAGCCAGCAGAAAAAACCCUAGUGGGCCUUAAAGGAGGCAUCUUCGAGGCUUCUUGGUUUCCGAUCAAUCCAGACCUUCACGCUUCUUAACCUCCCCUAUGAUUACAGCGCGCUGGAGCCGGCGAUCAGCGGCGACAUCAUGCAGAUCCAUCACCAGGCAUACGUCACAACGUGAGGGAGGUGAUAUAGUAAACCCGAGCGUGUAAGUUGAGUCCUUUUCUUCUUUCUCGUCGUCACUCACCUACUUACCCGUUUCUUCUCAUCAAAAAGGUUUGAUCAAUGAUUCUUGAUUGGGAAGUUAGUUACUUUUGGUGGUUUCUUAAAUGUGAACUCUGAUACGUGAAGCUGCUUGUAUGGGUUCGUUUCUUAGUUCCAUGACUGUCUCCUCUGUCGAUUUUUUGUUCGUUACGGUAGAACGCUGAUCACUUUUUAUUUAGGUACUUUGGUUUGUAGAUUCUUGAAUCAUGUGCUCUUUGGUCAAUGUGAACUCCAUGAUACGCGAAGCUGCUUGUAUGGUUUCUUUUCUUGGAUCCAUGAGUUUCCUCUGUAUUGCUCUCCUGAUCUUGUUUUGUUUUCGUUAUGUAGAUGAUUAACUAUUGGUUAUAUACAAAAAUAUAUGUAUGUGUGUGAUCAGGUUGCUGAUGUGAAGAAGAACAUAGAGAUUGUGUUGGGAGUUGUUGCAUAUCCUGCUGCAGAACAAAUGGAAACAUAACCAAAGGCAAAAGCCAGAUUCUCCUUCUCUGUUACUUAUACUUCAAUAGAACAGCAACAAUGUAGAGUCGUCAGAGCUAGUGUCGUCGGCGGCGGUGGAGGAGGUUCCGGUGGUAGCGAGAGCUACGUUGCGGUGAGGGAGGAUUAUGCCGACGAGGAAGAUUUCGUGAAGGCUGGUGGUUCGGAGAUUAUGUUCGUUCAAAUGCAGCAGAACAAAGACAUGGAUGAAAAGUCUAAGCUAGUUGAUGAAACAACCACACUAUUACAGGACUAGCUGUUGCUUUAUCAGGCAACUACUUCAGAGUACAAAGUAUACCAAGAGCAAGUCCUGAGUAACUCUGCAAAUUUUACUCAGGUGAAGAAAACACUUGCUAUGAUUUUGAAUGGAGUAAAUAUGAGGUUUGUACUAUAUACAUCACAUGAUCAAUGUUACAAGGCUCGGAAACGUUCAACGUUACAACUUACAAUCCUUUGUUCUUCCUUCUCAUGCUC